GACGAACGCUGGCGGCGUGCCUAAUACAUGCAAGUAGAACGCUGAAGAGAGGAGCUUACUCUUCUUGGAUGAGUUGCGAACGGGUGAGUAACGCGUAGGUAACCUGCCUUGUAGCGGGGGAUAACUAUUGGAAACGAUAGCUAAUACCGCAUAACAAUGGAUGACACAUGCCAUUUAUUUGAAAGGGGCAAUUGCUCCACUACAAGAUGGACCUGCGUUGUAUUAGCUAGUAGGUGAGGUAAUGGCUCACCUAGGCGACGAUACAUAGCCGACCUGAGAGGGUGAUCGGCCACACUGGGACUGAGACACGGCCCAGACUCCUACGGGAGGCAGCAGUAGGGAAUCUUCGGCAAUGGGGGCAACCCUGACCGAGCAACGCCGCGUGAGUGAAGAAGGUUUUCGGAUCGUAAAGCUCUGUUGUAAGUCAAGAACGGGUGUGAGAGUGGAAAGUUCACACUGUGACGGUAGCUUACCAGAAAGGGACGGCUAACUACGUG
rnacentral:rRNA from 1 species